UACAGAGGUCUCAACCGUUGUUCGGAUUCAUUGGGCGUAAAGGGUGCGUAGGCGGUCGCGCAAGUCGGAUGUGAAAUCUCAGGGCUCAACCCUGAAACUGCAUUCGAUACUGCGUGGCUAGAGUGCUGGAGAGGAGACUGGAAUUUACGGUGUAGCAGUGAAAUGCGUAGAUAUCGUAAGGAAGACCAGUGGCGAAGGCGAGUCUCUGGACAGCAACUGACGCUGAGGAGCGAAAGCGUGGGGAGCGAACAGG
rnacentral:rRNA from 1 species